UACGAAGGUGGCUAGCGUUGUUCGGAAUCAUUGGGCUUAAAGCGGGCGCAGGCGGAACAGUUAGCGUCUUGUGAAAUCCCUCGGCUUAACCGGGGAAUCGCUGGGCGAACUGCUGUUCUUGAGGCAAGCAGGGGUACAUGGAACUCUUGGUGGAGCGGUAGAAUGCGUAGAUAUCAAGAAGAACGCCAGUGGAGAAAUCGGUGUACUGGGCUUGUUCUGACGCUGAGGCCCGAAAGCGUGGGUAGCAAACAGGAUUAGAUACCCCUGUAGUCCC
rnacentral:rRNA from 1 species